rnacentral:tRNA from 1 species
AUCUAAAUAGUUUAUUUAAAAUAUUAACUUGUGGUGUUAAUGAAACAUUAAUAUUGUUUUAGGUA